GGGCUAAGCUUUCGUUGCAUUUACACCGUACUGACCAGCGUGUGGCGUUUCGAGGGCUUCGAAAAAGUGAUUCAUUUUGCGAAGAAAUUAAUUCAAAAUUCGUUAAUUCGACGCGACCAAAAGAAGCGGUAACACUAUAGCAGACAAAAGUUUUUUCCUCGCUAGAAAGAGCGCAAGAAAACAGAUACCGAGCUCGCUUUACUUGACGGGUAACGUUAAACGCAUAGCACGGUUACACCGCGGUGGCUAAAUCUGGCUAAAGUUCUUUGCCUGUGAUUCUCGCUUUCACAUUCAAGUCUUCCUGCUUUGACGGUGCGCAUGGCGGAGUUGAACACAUGAGGACCCCAUGCGCUCUGUACACAUCACAGCCAAAGCCUCAUUCAGGCUCCUAUGGUCCAGUCGCACGCAAAGAUCCAAGGAGGCACCAACAGCCGCAAGGACUGACCAGCUGGGUCAUAGUGCCUGAUAUGUAGACAGCAUUAAUGACAUGACUAAUGCCAAGUCCAACCCGAUAUCUAUUAGUAAUAUAAAGAGAGACAGAGAGAAAGAGUUUUUGUAGCUAUUAAAGAAAAAAAAACAAAUGCUGCCAUUCCUGAGGGAUUCUUACAC